rfam:Solibacillus silvestris StLB046 DNA, complete genome.
AGACUAGGAACAAAAGCUAAGAACGCCACGUCCUGUGGCAACGCUUUUGUGACCAACAUCCGUGUUGG